rnacentral:lncRNA from 1 species
ACAAGCAAUUGGAUAUAGUUCCCUGUGACCUCAUUGCAUAUCCAUUCUGAAAGUGAUAGUUUGCAUCUACUAACCCCAAACUCCCUCCACCCCACUCCCUUCCCCUCCCCCUUGGCAGCUACAGGGCUGUCCUCUGUGUCUGUGAGUCUGUUUCUGGUCAUCGGUGCCACACUUUAGAUUCCACACAUGAGUGAUACAUGGUAUUUGUCUUUCUCUUUUUGACUUAACUUCACUUACUAAGUAUGAGAAUCCCUGGUUCCAUCCAUGUUGCUGCAGAUGGCACUAUUUUGUUCUUUUUUAAUGUCUGGGUAGCGUUCCAUUGGGUACAUAUACCACAUCUUCUUAAUCCAAUCGUCUGUCAUGGAUGUUUAGGUUGUUUCCACCAACUUAAAUGGAAACAACCAUUUGGCUCUUGUGAAUACUGCUGCAGUGAACAUAGGGGUGCAGGUGUCUUUUUCAGUGAAAGUUUUGUCCAGAUAUAUGCCCAGGAGUGGGAUUGCUGGAUCAUACGGUAGCUCUAUAUUUACUUUUCUGAGAAACCUCCAUACUGUUUUUCAUAGUGGUUGUAUCAAGUUAUAUUUCCACUGACAGUAUAGGAGGGUACUUUUUUCUCCAUGCUCUCUCCAGCAUUUGUUCUUUGUAGACUUUUUGCUUUUUAGGGCUGCACCUGUGGGAUAUGGAGGGUCCCAUGCUAGGGGUUAAGUCGGAGCUGUAGCCACCAGGCUACACCACAGCCAGAGCAACACCAGGUCCGAGCCCUGUCUGUGACCUACACCACAGCUCACAGCAAUGCCAACCUUAACCCACUGAACAAGGCCAGAGAUGGAACCUCGUGGGUCCUCAUGGAUACUCGUCAGAUUUGUUUCUGCUGAGCCACGACAGGACCUCCUGCAGGCUUAUUAAUGAUGGCCAUUCUGACUGGCGUGAGGGGGUACCUCGUGGUAGUUUUGAUUUGCAUUUCUCGAAUAACUAGUGAUGUUGAGCAUUUUUUCAUGUGCCUGCUGGCCAUCCAUAUGUCUCCUUUGGAGAAAUGGUUAUUUAGGUCUUCUGCUCAUUUUUCACUUGGGUUGUUUGUUUUUCUACUGUUGAGUGGUAUCGGUUGUUUGUAUAUUUUGUAGAUUAAGCCUUGUUGGUUGCAUUGUUUGCAACUCUUUUCUCCCAUUCAUAGUUUGUCCUUUUUUUUUUUUUUUUUUUAAUGGUUUCCUUUGCUGUGUAAAAGCUUGUACGUUUCCCAUUCUUGAGUGUUCUCCUCUUUCUCUCCCUAUCAACCUCCUGGUUAUCACCCGCAUGUAGCAACCAAUGGCCUCAUGGAUAAUUUCAGCAUCUUUGCCGAAAUGAAUAAGUGAGCCAACUUCAGAUCUUUAAAAUUCUCUUCUACUUCCUAGGUGUUCUCUAUUUUAACAGCAUAUUUUCUCCAAGCAGCAUAUAUUUUUGUACCUGGAGUUGUUUCACUUUCUGAGGCCAGGGGUCCGAAGCCUGCGCUUGGAUAUUUCAAGAAAAAUUGACCAGUAUAGUCAUGCUCCCUACAUUCCCCAGGAAAAUCAUCAUUGUGAUUUCUAAACUUUAUAGGUCAGUUUUGCUCUCUUGGCAUUUUCUUGACAACUUUCCUGGGGAACGUAGGGAGCAGCAGGAUGCUUCUAGUGUGUUCAGCUUGUGAACCUGCAAGCUUAUCAAGCUUAUGGUUCCUGGUCAGAUUCGUUUCGGCUGCGCCACAAUGGGGACUCCGGGUUAUAUUUCUUGAAGCCAGUACAUUUCCUUUUUUGGGAACAGUGCUGCUGCUCCGUGGAAGACGAAUGAACGAACAAAUGAAUGGAUGAAUAAAAAUGAUAAACCAAGUAGAAAACGUGAGGAGACUCCGGACGGGAGCUGCCUCGAGCCGCGGCAGCUUUAACCUGCCGUCGUCUGCGUGCUGGGGGCUAUUGAUGUAAAGGACAGACACCAGCCUGUGACUUGGCUUUUGCACGUUUACUGUGGGGUAGUGGUUAUUGCCUUUGAACACUUGGCCUUUGUCUUUUCUGGGAAAUAUUUUAUGGGUUUAGUCAUUAUGAAUAACGAGUAAUGUGUAUGGACAGUGAUUCUUUGUGUGAAAGGCACUAUAUUAUUUCGCAUGUACUUACUGCCUUUACAAGUUUGUUUUGUGGACAAGUGAAAGGAGUGAGCCGUUAUUUCUCUAGAAUUUCGUAUAUACAGCUUUCUUUGCAACCUCAGAACAUAGUUCAAGAAAAGAGGGAUAUAUUGGAGUUCCCAUCGUUGUGCAGUGGUUAAUGAAUCCGACUAGGAACCAUGAGGUUGCGGGUUCGAUCCCUGGCCUCGCUCCGUGGGUUAAGGAUCCAGCGUUGCCGGGAUCUGUGGUGUAGGUUGCAGAUGUGGCUCGGAUCUGGUGUUGCUGUGGCUGUGGUGUAGGCCAGCAGCUGUAGCUCCAAUUAGACCCCUAGCCUGGGAACCUCCAUAUGGCACAGGUGCCGCCCUAAAAAGCAAAAAAAAAAAAAAA